rnacentral:rRNA from 1 species
UACGAAGGGUGCAAGCGUUACUCGGAAUUACUGGGCGUAAAGCGUGCGUAGGUGGUUCGUUAAGUCUGUCGUGAAAGCCCCGGGCUCAACCUGGGAAUGGCGAUGGAUACUGGCGGGCUAGAGUGCGGUAGAGGGUGGUGGAAUUCCAGGUGGUAGCGGUGAAAUGGCGUAGAUAUCUGGAGGAACACCGGUGGCGAAGGCGGGUCUCUGGGCGAACAA